CGGGGAGUAGCGCAGCCCGGUUAGCGCGCCGCGUUCGGGACGCGGAGGUCGGAGGUUCAAAUCCUCUCUCCCCGACCA
rnacentral:tRNA from 1 species